AGAUUGAACGCUGGCGGCAUGCCUUACACAUGCAAGUCGAACGGCAGCACGGACUUCGGUCUGGUGGCGAGUGGCGAACGGGUGAGUAAUAUAUCGGAACGUACCCUGGAGUGGGGGAUAACGCAGCGAAAGUUGCGCUAAUACCGCAUACGAUCUACGGAUGAAAGGGGGGGCUCGCAAGACCUCAUGCUCGUGGAGCGGCCGAUAUCUGAUUAGCUAGUUGUAGGUAAAGCUACCAAGGCAUCGAUCCGUAGCUGUCUGAGAGGACGACCAGCCACACUGGGACUGAGACACGGCCCAGACUCCUACGGGAGCAGCAGUGGGAAUUUUGGACAAUGGGGGCAACCCGUGAUCCAGCAAUGCCGCGUGAGUAGAAGAAGGCCGUUACGGUUGUAAAGCUCGUUUGUACGAGGAAGAAACGGUAGAAGGACUAA
rnacentral:rRNA from 1 species